rnacentral:tRNA from 1 species
GGGGGUUUAGCUCAGCGGUAGAGCGCUUGCCUAGCGAGCACAAGGCCCUGGGUUCGGUCCCCAGCUCCG